UUACGACCCCUAUUUUUAGAGAUGAAGUCCCCAAUCCCAAAGCGUGGCUUUUAGGAUAAUAUCGAUUACUAGUCCGGUUGGAAACAAACAGUUCUAAUUUGAAGGGACUGUAAAUUUGACAUCCUUUGGACGUAAAUGUGGGACUGAAUUUGAAAUGGAAAGCUAUGUCUAGGAAAUUCGAUAAAAGGAUAUAGUGUGGAUAUCCCACUAAUCCAUUUUUGGAACGAAAAAUAAACUGACACUAUAAUGACUCUAACGGGAUGUCCUAGGAAUGAAGAAUUCUUAUGAGUUUGGGAUAAGACUGUUUUCGUCUUCUAUAUAUCUAAGUGGGACCAAUCAAGGAGGUAUUGCUCAGCUCGUCCCAGGGAUCCCAACGAUCCAACGGAUGAAGACUGUUACGUCCAUGGGACGUCCAAUUCAGGACAAAGUGACGUUCAAGGGAUAUCCCCAUAUAUUGUGAGGAUCCGCCACCCAAAUCAAAUUCAAACGGUGUACGUGCUUCUUUUAUUUCCCUUAUCUCUCAGUCCAGACUUGCCGUGAUUGAAAUAAAUUUAUUAUCACGGUCAAACUCAAACUAAAAAAAUUAGCGAUCGAUUAACUCGUUUUGAGAUGAGUUUGAUCGCAAUCAAACUUAAAAAUUCUGAUCGAACUCAACUUAAAUUGGAACUCAACGCUUCUUAUUUCACGCCAUCUACUGAUAAUAUAUAGAACUAUAUUCCCAUAAUUCUACUCCUAAAUUCGGCUUAAUAAUUAUACUGUCAUAAGUUUUUCAAACUGUUCGUAGUACUUUCUGUGGUAUUUUGUCUUUUUACAUUUCAGUUUUACUCUUUGACAGGGAAUUGAAUUAGAUUAACGAUCACAAUUUCCGAGCUAUCUGUUCAGGGCGAUUUUUAAAAUGAGAAUAGUGAUCCCAAUUCCAACGUGUCACAUGAAAAUGCCAGCAUGAAUGCAACCACUGUAAAGAAGCUAGUAAUUUCUGAAAUAUUUUUUUUUAUUUGUUGGGAAUGUCACUGGCAAACAUGCCAGUCUGUAUCGGUGUCUGUUUUCUGGCUACGUUCAAAAGAAAAAAAAGGAUGGCACUGACAAACUGCUUGUUGUUUCUCAUUGUUCUUGACAUAAUGCGAAAAGGCAUUUUUUGAAACAUGAUCCAACUCAAGAACUUGGCCACGUGAAACUUUGGGAUGAUGCUUCAAGCAUGUAACGUCUGAGAGUAAUUACACAGUUACUCUCUCGACUUCUUUGUCAGCAAAUAAAGGUAUAAUAAUUAUCCAAGAAAACCUUGACAGUUGGGUGGUGAAUUACCUCAUUGUAGACGUGUCGUCUAUAAACACUGUUGAAAAGCCGGGUUUCAAGCAACUGGUGUCUAGUCUCGCACCAAAUUUAGUUUUACGUGGACGCACAUUCUUCACCAAAAAAAUAGAGUUGGAAUUCACUGAACGAAGACAACAGUUGAUUGAUGUGUUAAGCAACUGUACAGACGCAGCAACGACGAUUGAGGCAUUGACGCAGAAGAUCAUAUAUCGGUGAGACUAUCCAUUGGUUUGUAGACGAAUCCUUAAAGCGAAGAAGUGCCUGUCUUCGCAUCCGCCGGAUAAAAGGUCAACAUACUUAUGAUGUCCUGACAACUAUAAUAGAAAACCUCCAUAAGGAGUACUCAGUUAUAGACAAAAUGCGUGGAGCCACAACCGAUAACGGUUCGAACUUCGUAAAGGCGUUCCAUGAGAGUAGUGAGGCAUCAAAUGUGCCAAAAUAUGAAGAUGACGAUUUCGAACAAAGUGAUGAAGAAGAAGAAUUGUUAUAUUUCGAAAUUGGAGACCUAAUCGACGGUCGAAUCAGGGAAGACCAUCUGUCAAGCAAUGUAAAUCCCACUCUGCCGCUACAUCGCAGAUGUGCCUGCCACAUUUUAAGGUUAAUUGCAAAGGCUGACAUAUUGAAGAUUCCUGAUCCAACCUUUCAAGAAUUAAGUCAAGUUUUGUUAAUUCUGACAUUAUAUCAUAAUGCACCACAUUAGACAACUGUUCAUCUUAAAAAACGAGAUAAGAUGGAAAUCUGAAUACUCCGCCAUACGGUGCAUUGUCUGGCUCUUGAAGAAGAAGAAUAGAUGCAUGAAGAAAUUUUUUCAUGAGCUUAGUUUAACUUUGUUUAUCCCUAACCAGGAACAAUACUUAAAGGAGUAUACCAAAGUAAUGUGAUAUUUUACCGAAGCAUUAGAUGAAUGGCAAGGGGAAAAGAAUAUUGGUUCGGGUUAUCUCCUUCCCACAAUUUCUCUUUAAAAAAAAAAUCAGCUGCAAGACGAUGCAUCAAUCACACACUGCCAGUCACUAAUAACUGGAAUUCUUGAUGCGAUCCAUUGUAGAUUUGAACAUAUGUUUGCUGACAACGAGCUUCAUUUGGCAACACUUACCGAUCCUUUCUUUAAAUUGUCCUGGUUGGAUAAUGAAGAUGAAAUUAGACGCGCCAAAAACUUACUAAAGGGAGAAUACGUUCGCUUUCAAUGAAUAUCCAAUGAGACCAAAUCAUGAGUUCAGUGACGGAACAUGUUCGUCAAUUUCAGAUCCUAGCCCGGAAAAGAAACCAAAAUGUACUAAGGAUUUCUUUGCAUCAAUUACAAAAAAAUACUAAGACCAAAGUUAUUGAUGAAGUGGAGACUUUUUAGAAGUUAUGUGGGAAUUUCGACGAUCUAAGGAAUUAUCCAACGAUUAUGAAGAUGUAUAAGCGAUAUAACGUGACUUUGUCAUCUUCGGCCGCAGUCGAGAGGCUGUUUAGUCAAGGGGGAUUAAUAUUUACCCCAAACGACUAUAGUUGACAGCAGUGUUUCGGAUUUUUUUUUUAAAUCAAAUCCAAAUCCAAUCAAAUCCAAAUCCUCCCGGAUUUUUAAAAGAUUUGGAUUUGCCUUAUUUUUCAAUGGCUUGGAUUUGGAUCGGAUUUGAUC